AAAAAAAAAAAAAAAGAGGUACGCUUUCGUGUUUCUUUUUUUUUUUUUAAUUUUUCCCUUUAUUUAUACUUCCAAGUUCUAAACUCGACAGUUUUAAGAAUGUUCGUGCAUGAUUUACUUAAUUAUAUAUGUCAAAAACCUGUAUACUUCUUUGUGUUUUAGAAAAGAGCUUAAUUAGAAAUGUACAUUUCAACAGUGAAAUUCCUAUCAAGAUUUCAAACUGGAAAAUUUCUGAAAUAAAUUUGAAGUUUAUUUCAAAUUAAAGUAACUUUGAUGAUCUCCCAAGAAGGCUUCGCCCUGCUGUUGCUAUCAAGGAUUUCAUGGGUACCGCGAAGCUAAUUUCUCAGCGGAUAAGUUGGUUUGUAUAGCAGAAGGCUUCCGGUUGAGCACUCAUAUUAUAGAUUUUUCCUAACUUGAUCUUAGACAAUGGCUAUGCAUGAUAAUAGUGGGAUUUCAACUUUCAUAUCCUACAGAUUGUUUGUAGAUUUCUUUAGAGUUAUGCUCUACCAUUUGUACCAAAAAAGAAAAAAUUUGAAGUUUAUUGGCUACCUACCAUUUUGCUUGACUUGACCAAGAAAUCAGAACGGUACGUACUAUAGUUUCCAAUCAUAUUCCAAUGGUCGACACCAAUAAAAGAAGAGAGAGAAUCGCGAGGGUUUUUCCAAGAUAAAUGUGAGAAAGAUGAACCCAUCAGUCAACAGUUUCAUCUCCUGCUAUUAGUUAGUUUGUUCGAUUUGUACAGUCUUGAACUUGCAGAUAAUCAAAAUUCACUUGGAGAUGCAAAUAAUUUGUUAAUUAUCCAAUAUGUUACCCUUAAAUUUUUAGGAAUACAUGUACAUUUAAGUUUUUUCCUUAAAAUUGAAUCAUCUGAUAAUUUUUUAAGAAAAAUUUGACUACACUAAUUGAAUUCCCCUAUAAGUCUACAACUAGGUCAAGUAGCAUGGUUAAAAGAAAAAAAAAAAAAAGAAGAAAAUAAUGAAAUUAUUAAACCAGCUAUUUGAUUAAUCGAGACAAAGAAUAAUUUCUAAUAAUUAAUAAUUUUUAUGAUUAAUAAUGGAAACCAUAAAUUAUUUAUAAAUUUUUAAUUCAAUUUUGCCUUCUUCCUAAAUUAAAUUCAACCAAAGUCUUGCUUUGAAUUGUUUAGCAUGUAAAAACUUGAAUUCUAGUUAAACAAUAGCAGUCUAAUGCAGAGAUUAAUACUACUACUCUACAUCUAAACUAGAAAUUAAAAUUAAAAAUCUGAAUAUAUUCUUUAAAUUAAAACGUUCUUAUAACUGCUCAUUCUAAUAAAUUUAAAGAAAAAAAACUUGUUUAUUGAUUUGAAUUCUGAAAGCUCCCCGUUUAGAUAAAUAUGGAUAAACAUUAGCAUAUGUUAUUAUCUAAAAGUUUAUGGUUCAAUAAAUUAAUAAAAAAUGAUUCAAUAAUUAAAAUUUUGUUAGCACAUGUACAUUAAUUGGUAGUUUCAGUGUAUGAUUGAGAGUGUAGCUUUCUCUGGACUCUGCAUUACAUUAAAGGUGUGGCUGUUAAGCAGAUGAUGAAGAUAAGCAUGGGCAAGUCAAAAUUCAGCGAUACACUUGUCGAUCAAUUAGCACAAUACUCCAAAACUAUAAUCCCUCAACUUUGCGACAUAACAUAUUACAGUUUAAAUAAAUAAAUAAAAAGAAGAAUUAGGAUCUAUCUUUCCACACAUAUACAUGUUUUAAUUAACAAGUCAUUCUCUAUAUAGGAGGAUUAGGUCGGAUCUUUCCCAGAGAAAAGCGUGAUAUACAAGUGGGAAUUAAAGAACAAACAAGGAAAAUUUGUUGAAUCAUGGCCGGUUGAAUAAGUUCCGUGCUAUAUGCUUGUCGAGAGAACAGUCCUUUUUUGCAUAUUAACCUUUCUUUCGUUGUCUGUUCGGCCUUGAAAUUAAUCUUUUUCACAUAUUUAUAUAGCUAAAUUCGUUUCUUUUUGUUUGAAAGAUUAUUAUUGUUCUAAGUAUUUCAGUCUCAAAUACGUGAGUUUGUAUUGCAUAUCGGUUUUCUUAAAUUCAUAUUAUAAUAAAAAUGAAUUUAUCAAUUACCGUUAAUUACAUAAUAUUUUAUGAUGAUCAUUUAUCUGCAAACAAACCUUAACACGGUAGAACAAACUCGUGGUACAACGAUAAUGUUGACAAAAAAAAGAAAGGGCUGAAUUGCAUUGGGAAAUUCUAACUAGUUUUGUUUUGUCUAUCCAUUCUUGUCCUUUGAAAGAGGUGGGGGGUUAGUGUACAGUUGCAACAAGUCCAAAUCAUAGUAAAUGUAACAAUUAUUUUCACGUCAUAUGGUUAGGUCUAAAGCAUUGUCGAGUGUAUCAGUUAGAUGGAUCCAGCUUUUCUCUGUUGAGAAAUUGGCAUUCAUUUAUAAAUUGUUGGGUCCAUUAUAUGUUGUCCUAUUUGUUCCAUAGGAGUUCUAUAUUAAUUGUUGGAAAAUUCCUCUUGGUAUAUAUUAUGUUCCUGGUAUACAGUUACAUAUACUUUUAAUCAAGUGAAAAAUCAUUUUUGGGCUUAAUUAAUUUUAAUUGUCAACUAGAUGUGAAAUGAAUAUACUAAACUAGGAGAAAGUAACUGUAAUAGCUGAUAAGAAGAAUUUUAAGGUCGAUUAGGACAGCGAACGCAGGGAAUAAGCUAAGGGACUGGUCGUUUGACAAGGUUUUACAUGGAAUUGGACAACUCAAGUCUUUGGCAGGUAGGUAACAGGAGAAGAAGGUAAGAUUUCACCAAACGACAGUAAUAUUGUUGCUCCUGGUAGCUUUACUUCUAGAAAUGCACAAAACGAGACGAAUAUUGUCUUUUCCUGAAAUUAUGACCCAAAUAGUUUAUUGCAAAAAGCUUGGUGAGUGUAAGCCCAACCCAAGAAAAGCUACGGCCUUUUUGAAUUCUGCUCCAUCUUCUCCAUUUUUGGCGAAGGCACUUGCCCUUCGUCAGUACAUGUGAGUAAGUUCAUUGCUGAUCUCGGCAGUUACUCAUGGCAAUUCCUAAUUCGUGACGAACCCACUCCGCCAUAUGACCGGAGAAGGAAGCUUACCGGUCAUGAAGCGGCCACUUAUUCAAAUCACCUUAUUUUACAUCACUUCAAAUCAUUUCUGUUUGGUUACUCUGCUAAUAAACGGCAAGCAUUGUAUCAUUUCUUGUGUUCUCUAAAAGGAUCAGAUUGCUUGUGU